UUGCAGUCAAUUAAGCCGACCACCUUCUGCCGUAAUCAGAGCGUGGUGUGCAAUGUCUGCAUACAGAGACUUCCCUGGCUGUGUAUGUGCUCUGCCCUCCAUGCAGAGUGCUCGAAGGGGCCUCGGAGACAAUG